CGAACCGACACUGUCAUUCAUAGUUAAUUAAAGAAAAGAAGCAGCAUUGCGGACCGGCCAUGAUGCUGAAAAUUUAUUAAUUGAUUCCAUGGGAGACGAAAUCCAAGUGGAUUGAUACACCUAACUGGUGCCACCAAAAGAGGGGAACUUCCAUGGAUGGAGAGUGUGUGAGGUACCAACAACAAAUCUCCCGCCAGCCAUUUAUGACCAACAAGCAUCAGACCUUAGACGACUGUAAGUUCACCUAAAGUAAGGUAUUAAAUAUAUCCACACCUACUUCUAUUUGCAACCAUUAAUGCAUUUCCUCUUCCUAA